rnacentral:rRNA from 1 species
AUACGUAGGGCGCGAGCGUUGUCCGGAUUUAUUGGGCGUAAAGAGCUCGUAGGUGGUUGAUUGCGUCGGGAGUGGAAUUCCAGGGCUUAACUCUGGGCUUGCUUUCGAUACGGGUUGACUUGAGGAAUGUAGGGGAGAAUGGAACUCUCGGUGGAGCGGUGGAAUGCGCAGAUAUCGGGAAGAACACCAGUGGCGAAGGCGGUUCUCUGGACAUUUCCUGACGCUGAGGAGCGAAAGCGUGGGGAGCGAACAGGCUUAGAUACCCUGGUAGUCCACGCUGUAAACGGUGGGUGCUAGGUGUGGGUCCCAUUCCACGGGGUCCGUGCCGUAGCUAACGCAUUAAGCACCCCGCCUGGGGAGUACGGCCGCAAGGCUAAA